AUUGAACGCUGGCGGCAUGCCUUACACAUGCAAGUCGAACGGUAACAGGUCUUCGGAUGCUGACGAGUGGCGAAUGGGUGAGUAAUGCAUCGGAACGUGCCCAGUAGUGGGGGAUAGCCCGGCGAAAGCCGGAUUAAUACCGCAUACGACCUGAGGGUGAAAGGGGGGGAUCGCAAGACCUCUCGCUAUUGGAGAGGCCGAUGUCAGAUUAGCUAGUUGGUGGGGUAAAGGCCUACCAAGGCAACGAUCUGUAGUUGGUCUGAGAGGACGACCAGCCACACUGGGACUGAGACACGGCCCAGACUCCUACGGGAGGCAGCAGUGGGGAAUUUUGGACAAUGGGCGCAAGCCUGAUCCAGCAAUGCCGCGUGCAGGAAGAAGGCCUUCGGGUUGUAAACUGCUUUUGUCAGGGAAGAAAUCUUCUGGGUUAAUACCUCGGGAGGAUGACGGUACCUGAAGAAUAAGCACCGGCUAACUACGUGCCAGCCGCCGCGGUAAAAC
rnacentral:rRNA from 1 species